GGGGUCGUAGCUCAGUUGGUAGAGCACCUGCUUUGCAAGCAGGGGGUCACCGGUUCGAAUCCGGUCGGCUCCACCA
rnacentral:tRNA from 1 species